rnacentral:rRNA from 1 species
AAGGAAUAUUGCUCAAUGGGAGAAAUCCUGAAGCAGCAACGCCGCGUGGAGGAUGAAGGGUCUAUGACUUGUAAACUCCUGCAAAGAAGGAAAAAAUUCCCAUUAGAUGGGAGAUGAUGGUACUUCUGGAGUAAGCCCCGGCUAACUACGAGCCAGCAGCCGCGGUAAUACGUAGGGGGCAAGCGUUGUCCGGAUUUACUGGGUGUAAAGGGUGCUCAGGCGGAUUUGUAAGUCAGAGGUGAAAUCUUACAGCUUAACUGUGAAACUGCCUUUGNUACUGCAAGCCUAGAGUAUGGAAGAGGGUGAUGGAAUAUCUGGUGUAGCAGUGAAAUGCGUAGAUAUCAGAUAGAACACCAAUGGCGAAGGCAGUCACUUGGUCCAUUACUGACGCUAAAGCACGAAAGCGUGGGUAGCAAACA